rnacentral:lncRNA from 1 species
AGAAAAACACCAGCAUCUGUUAGAUGGCUUCUCCAUCAAGACUUCAAUCUCAAAGGGCAAUACUGUGCGGCAAAAGAAGAGCUGGCUCCUGGAGGACUUCUGGGGCCCCAGGCAUGGAUCAAUGUUUGCAUCAGAAAAGAAAGCCUGUCAGCAAUGGAGGUGCUGGAGGAUUUCUGGAAGGGGGGGGCCUCAUUCAAGACCACCAAGGGACUGCUGACUGUUCUCGUUCAUGACGCCUCUCUUCAAGGAAAUUGACCCUCCCAGAGUGCAAGACGGAGAAAAAGGUUCUUAAGAACUUCCCCUGGAAAUCACCACUGAAUGGAUGCCAGGCAAUUCUAGAAUCUCCACUCUUUGGUUUUUUGGGCCCUUGGAUGGAUGAGAAGUGAUGUGCAGAUCUGAUGGGAAAAAUGGCAGAGACCACAGCUUCUCUCCUAAACCCUCAUUCAUUGCCCAUCGGACAAUUCUCCUGUUUCCGAUCCUGUAAGGUCACAAGGAUUUCUCAUUUCAGGUAGACCAGAAAAGAAGCCACUGAUGGAAUGCUGCAAGAAGGGGUUUACCAUGCGGUGUGAUUUCUGGGACCCCUUCUUCCCUGUUGAAAAUAUUUCACAGGCCCCCAGGACCUCCCCCAAAAGACAAGGGCAGAAACCAAAGAAAAUGCACUGUUCCAAUUUUGUCCAGGCUGCCUGUGGAAUGAGAAACCCAUGAGAAAGUUAUUGAGACUUCAGUUUUCUAUUCCUCUCCUUAUCCGGCCUCAUUACCUCCCCAACCCCUGAGAGAAAAAAUAAAUAAUUCACAAACAAAGGACGAGGGUGUGGUGGAUUGAGAGCAGGUUUGCUUGGUGACAGGAGGACUCUGUAGAGGGGGUCUGUUGGGAGGUGAGCAGGAGGGAGUGGCUGCUCCAGAGCCCACAGUUCUGUCCAGAAAGGUGGAAGUAACACAGGCAUCAUGAAGGCUUCUGGAGGCAGGGGCUGAGCCCUCUCACCGCAAGGACCACAGAAGCCAGGGCUGGACUCCUGGCCCGGGAAGCUCCAGUCCCAUGGACUCUAUCCCACUCCUUUGUCUCUUUCUCCCUCCUGUGCCUGCCCCGCCUGCCCCUUGCUCUGUCUUCAUCCUGGGAAGCCAGCUGCAGCAUGUAGGAGAGAAGGGCUCUG